rnacentral:rRNA from 1 species
GGAGGGUGCAAGCGUUGUUCGGAAUUAUUGGGCGUAAAGAGCGUGUAGGCGGUCCGGUAAGUCAGAUGUGAAAGCCCUGGGCUCAACCCAGGAAGUGCAUUUGAAACUACCAGACUUGAGUACGGGAGAGGAGGGGGGAAUUCCCGGUGUAGAGGUGAAAUUCGUAGAUAUCGGGAGGAAUACCAGUGGCGAAGGCGCCCCUCUGGACCGAUACUGACGCUGAGACGCGAAAGCGUGGGGAGCAAACAGGAUUAGAUACCCUGGUAGUCCACGCCGUAAACGAUGAGCACUAGGUGUAGCGGGUAUUGACCCCCUGCUGUGCCGUAGCUAACGCAUUAAGUGCUCCGCCUGGGGACUACGGUCGCAAGACUA